rnacentral:tRNA from 1 species
UGGGGUAUGGCUCAGUGGUAGAGUGCUCACCUGGCACAUGUGAGGCACUGGGUUCGAUCCUCAGUACCACAU